AUGACACUACUCAGCUGGAACUGUCGGGGCAUAGGGCAACCCCGCACAGUUCGAGAACUUGAGUGCCUAGUGCACACCCUCAAGCCCAAGUUGGUUUUCUUAUCAGAGACACGGCAAAGUAAUGAGUAUGUGAAUAAUUUAAGGUGGAGACUAGGUCUCAAGCACUGUAUAAUGCAGCCGGGCGCUGGUAAAAGCGCCGGUAUUGCAUUGUUCUAUGAUGAAAGCAUUGAAAUAAAAGAACUUGCCGUUGGCCCGAGGAAAGACACCACAUGUGGGAACUCCUAUACGAAGAAUUCGAAACAAUUCUGUUGA
rnacentral:rRNA from 1 species